UGUACAGUCAUCUAUAUUAGUUGCAUUCUAAAAUUAUUGCUUUUUUCUUUUCUUAAUAGAACGUCAUUUAAAGUGUAAGAACUGUGUGUCCUUAAUCACAAUAACUGCAAAUGCGUGUGUGAUGAAGGCUGGGAUGCUGCUCCGUACGGCUGCCACUAUCACAUGACAUCCUUUUCUUUUGGCUGAGGAAACGUAUCCCAGGGCAUCCCCAGACACUGGCACAACAAAGAGUGUGUUGCCAUGGGAAGAAGUGCUGUAAUGAGGGAUAUGUGAGCACUGAUGGCUGUAAAUGCAUGUUCUGCUGGACCUCUUGGCAGCUCCUGUGCUAACAGUUACAUCACUCAGGUGCCAGAGAGAAGCAUUCAUUUAUUCACAGCAAAUAUUCCAGAGCUUUUUCUAUCACGGGAGCAUACCUCAUGACUUGUAGCUGUGGGAUCAAUGCGUCCUGCAUCUCCUUAACUGUAAGUACUGGCACUCAGUCUGCAGAAUGAUCUCACAUUCACACCUAAGUAUGUGCUGGUAUUUCUGUCCCCUUAAGCUUUCAAAUUGCUUUUACUUUUAGCAAAAUUAGCUGACAGACUAUUGUCCUGAUGAGCCAGUGUAGCAUCAUCCUCAUAUCCCUGUCAAUAUAUUAUACGUACUACGAAUCUGGCUGUAUUAUCCCUGUGAAAAAUUGAGAGAACUUCCUAGGUGAGUUU
rnacentral:lncRNA from 1 species